rnacentral:rRNA from 1 species
AGUGAACGCUGGCGGUAGGCCUAACACAUGCAAGUCGAACGGCAGCACAGUAAGAGCUUGCUCUUACGGGUGGCGAGUGGCGGACGGGUGAGGAAUACAUCGGAAUCUACUUUUUCGUGGGGGAUAACGUAGGGAAACUUACGCUAAUACCGCAUACGACCUACGGGUGGAAGCAGGGGAUCCUCGGACCUUGCGCGAUUGAAUGAGCCGAUGUCGGAUUAGCUAGUUGGCGGGGUAAAGGCCCACCAAGGCGACGAUCCGUAGCUGGUCUGAGAGGAUGAUCAGCCACACUGGAACUGAGACACGGUCCAGACUCCUACGGGAGGCAGCAGUGGGGAAUAUUGGACAAAGGGCGCAAGCCUGAUCCAGCCAUACCGCGUGGGUGAAGAAGGCCUUCGGGUUGUAAAGCCCUUUUGUUGGGAAAGAAAAGCAGCAGGUUAAUACCCCGCUGUUCUGACGGUACCCAAAGAAUAAGCACCGGCUAACUUCGUG